UUUCCAUGGAUAGUGUUAUGAGUCUAGUGAUAGUUUGACAAGGCUUUGGUAGAGGUUGUGUUAGUAGUGUUUCCAUGGGUAGUGUUAUGAGCCUGGUGAUAGUUUGACAAGGCUUUGGUGGAGGUUGUGUUAGUAGUGUUUCCAUGGGUAGUGUUAUGAGCCUGGUGAUAGUUUGACAAGGCUUUGGUAGAGGUUGUGUUAGUAGUAUUUCCAUGGGUAGUGUUAUGAGCCUGGUGAUAGUUUGACAAGGCUUUGGUAGAGGUUGUGUUAGUAGUAUUUUCAUGGGUAGUGUUAUGAGCCUGGUGAUAGUUUGACAAGGCUUUGGUAGAGGUUGUGUUAGUAGUGUUUCCAUGGGUAGUGUUAUGAGCCUGGUGAUAGUUUGACAAGGCUUUGGUGGAGGUUGUGUUAGUAGUAUUUCCAUGGGUAGUGUUAUGAGCCUGGUGAUAGUUUGACAAGGCUUUGGUGGAGGUUGUGUUAGUAGUAUUUCCAUGGGUAGUGUUAUGAGCCUGGUGAUAGUUUGACAAGGCUUUGGUGGAGGUUGUGUUAGAAGUAUUUCCAUGGGUAGUGUUAUGAGCCUGGUGAUAGUUUGACAAGGCUUUGGUGGAGGUUGUGUUAGAAGUAUUUCCAUGGGUAGUGUUAUGAGCCUGGUGAUAGUUUGACAAGGCUUUGGUAGAGGUUGUGUUAGUAGUAUUUCCAUGGGUAGUGUUAUGAGCCUGGUGAUAGUUUGACAAGGCUUUGGUGGAUGUUGUGUUAGUAGUGUUUCCAUGGGUAGUGUUAUGAGCCUGGUGAUAGUUUGACAAGGCUUUGGUGGAGGUUGUGUUAGUAGUGUUUCCAUGGGUAGUGUUAUGAGCCUGGUGAUAGUUUGACAAGGCUUUGGUGGAGGUUGUGUUAGUAGUGUUUCCAUGGGUAGUGUUAUGAGCCUGGUGAUAGUUUGACAAGGCUUUGGUGGAGGUUGUGUUGGUAGUGUUUCCAUGGGUAGUGUUAUGAGCCUGGUGAUAGUUUGACAAGGCUUUGGUGGAGGUUGUGUUAGUAGUGUUUCCAUGGGUAGUGUUAUGAGCCUGGUGAUAGUUUGACAAGGCUUUGGUGGAGGUUGUGUUAGUAGUGUUUCCAUGGGUAGUGUUAUGAGCCUGGUGAUAGUUUGACAAGGCUUUGGUAGAGGUUGUGUUAGUAGUGUUUCCAUGGGUAGUGUUAUGAGCCUGGUGAUAGUUUGACAAGGCUUUGGUGGAGGUUGUGUUAGUAGUGUUUCCAUGGGUAGUGUUAUGAGCCUGGUGAUAGUUUGACAAGGCUUUGGUGGAGGUUGUGUUAGUAGUGUUUCCAUGGGUAGUGUUAUGAGCCUGGUGAUAGUUUGACAAGGCUUUGGUGGAGGUUGUGUUAGUAGUGUUUCCAUGGGUAGUGUUAUGAGCCUGGUGAUAGUUUGACAAGGCUUUGGUGGAGGUUGUGUUAGUAGUGUUUCCAUGGGUAGUGUUAUGAGCCUAGUGAUAGUUUGACAAGGCUUUGGUAGAGGUUGUGUUAGUAGUGUUUCCAUGGGUAGUGUUAUGAGCCUGGUGAUAGUUUGACAAGGCUUUGGUAGAGGUUGUGUUAGUAGUAUUUCCAUGGGUAGUGUUAUGAGCCUGGUGAUAGUUUGACAAGGCUUUGGUGGAGGUUGUGUUAGUAGUGUUUCCAUGGGUAGUGUUAUGAGCCUGGUGAUAGUUUGACAAGGCUUUGGUGGAGGUUGUGUUAGUAGUGUUUCCAUGGGUAGUGUUAUGAGCCUGGUGAUAGUUUGACAAGGCUUUGGUGGAGGUUGUGUUAGUAGUGUUUCCAUGGGUAGUGUUAUGAGCCUGGUGAUAGUUUGACAAGGCUUUGGUGGAGGUUGUGUUAGUAGUGUUUCCAUGGGUAGUGUUAUGAGCCUGGUGAUAGUUUGACAAGGCUUUGGUGGAGGUUGUGUUGGUAGUGUUUCCAUGGGUAGUGUUAUGAGCCUGGUGAUAGUUUGACAAGGCUUUGGUAGAGGUUGUGUUAGUAGUGUUUCCAUGGGUAGUGUUAUGAGCCUGGUGAUAGUUUGACAAGGCUUUGGUGGAGGUUGUGUUAGUAGUGUUUCCAUGGGUAGUGUUAUGAGCCUGGUGAUAGUUUGACAAGGCUUUGGUAGAGGUUGUGUUAGUAGUGUUUCCAUGGGUAGUGUUAUGAGCCUGGUGAUAGUUUGACAAGGCUUUGGUGGAGGUUGUGUUAGUAGUGUUUCCAUGGGUAGUGUUAUGAGCCUGGUGAUAGUUUGACAAGGCUUUGGUGGAGGUUGUGUUAGUAGUGUUUCCAUGGGUAGUGUUAUGAGCCUAGUGAUAGUUAGACAAGGCUUUGCACCAUGGACGGGAAAACUUAUGAGAACCCGAGUCAUCCCCUCCGUGAACUUUGGCAAGAGUUGUGAGAGCCGAAAACGUUUACGAAUACGGGACAAACGUUUCUAUGGGGGCGAAAAUCAUUUAGGAGGCAGCCACUGGUUUCUGAGUUGGUAUAAGUGGCAGCUUCAGUACGGGAGAGCCUGCAACCCCGCCACCACACAGACAGACACACAAAGACUACAAAAGGAACAUUAGCCCAUCACGAGGGAACAAUGGGGGGCGUUGGGAGGUGUUGCCACGAGUGUUGGGUAGAGGGGAACACUGUGCUUGUCCGUAGUGUUGCCUGUGGCUCCACCAAGCGUUCAUUUUUCAACUCUUCUUCCUGUCUAUAUUAGUAAGACCCCAAGGCUACAGGGAAGAUUAACCGGGUCUUCAUGGGGGUGAUAUUCCCGUCAGUAAGCAGAGGUCGUGUAAAACUAUCACCAGUAUCACUAAACCAAAAUCUAUAUACACCAAGUCAAGUCCUACGCAGGUUUGUGGGAGGAGACAUGGCCGAGGCGUGGCUUAUGCGUGACACUGCUUGGAGCCAAACUAGAGAAUGUAGAAACAGGGAUUUAGAGAAAACGAGGAAAGGCGGACUAAUUCAAAUCAAUCACUUCAACAUGCCCUCCCUCACACCCCACACCGCCGUUUGUAUAGGCAUUGGAAUUACAGUCACGCAAUAGCACAAUAAAAAGGCAUAUUUUUUCGUCAGUGGCUUGCCUGAACGCGCUGUGAAAGAAGGCGAGAAUGCACAUCCAGAGUGCACACACGGACCCAACUUUAGUCACCCUUGAACUGGUGGGUAUUUUUUUUUUUUUUGCUGAAAGUGACGUCAUCCCGCUGCUCCGCCCCCAAACUGCCCCCUGCGCGUACCGGUCGCAGUUUUGAAGCAGAGUGACUUGACUUGGUAUAUAUAGACUUGGAGUAAGAUUGAUGUGUGAAACGUGUCUGGAACGUGUUUACAUGAGUCUAGAGGGCAACACUGAACCAAAUCUUAACGAUGCCUGUCUCUCUAGCGUUCAUUUUCCAACUCUUCUUUCUGUCUAUAUUAGUAAGAGCGAUGUGUGUGUAAGGUGUCUAGGAGGUGUUUAAAUGAGUGUAGAGGGCAAAGCUGUACCUGGCCUGUGUCUAUCUAGCGUUCAUUUCUCUUAACUUAUUUCUUGCAAUCUAUUUUUGGUUUUGUAUUGUUUUCCUUAUCUUCUUUUUCCAUUUCCCUGUCUCUGUUAUCAUCUAUGGCCUAAGCUUCACUGUAUAUCUCCUCUCUUCGCUCGCAUCUAAAGCCCCGUUCACAUGUGCUGACUCUGGGCCACGACUACCCACGACUCUAGGUGUACACGAGGUCUUAAGCCCAGUUCACACUGUUCCACUCUGGGCCACGACUACCCACGACUCUAGGUGUACACGAGGUCUUGGGUGUUGAUGUGAAAGGGUCGGGCAUGUCUUGAAAGAGGUCUUGAGACUGUUGCCGAUUGAUGCGCCGACGUCGUGACGGGAGUCUGGAGUCGUGAGAGUUAGCACGACAUGCUGGCAACUAGUUGGCCGAAUGUCCCAGACAGUCGGCAAGACACCAAGGGUAGUAUUAUAAAACAUUUCGUCGCCCACGAACACACAUUUGACAAGGCUUUCGUGGGAGUUGUGAGCAUUUCCGAGAGUAGUUUUAUGCUCCUGGUGGUAGUGUGACCCUUCCUCUGUACCAUGAACCUAAGGAAACACACAUUUGACAAGGCUUUCGUAGGAGUUGUGGGCAUUUCCAGGAAUAGUU